CCUACGGGUGGCAGCAGUGGGGAAUAUUGGACAAUGGGCGAAAGCCUGAUCCAGCCAUGCCGCGUGUGUGAAGAAGGCCUUCGGGUUGUAAAGCACUUUCAGUGGGGAAGAAAGCCUUGGGGCUAAUACCCUCGAGGAAGGACAUCACCCACAGAAGAAGCACCGGCUAACUCCGUGCCAGCAGCCGCGGUAAUACGGAGGGUGCGAGCGUUAAUCGGAAUUACUGGGCGUAAAGCGCGCGUAGGCGGUCUGAUAAGCCGGUUGUGAAAGCCCCGGGCUCAACCUGGGAACGGCAUCCGGAACUGUCAGGCUAGAGGGCAGGAGAGGAAGGUAGAAUUCCCGGUGUAGCGGUGAAAUGCGUAGAGAUCGGGAGGAAUACCAGUGGCGAAGGCGGCCUUCUGGACUGACACUGACGCUGAGGUGCGAAAGCGUGGGUAGCAAACAGGAUUAGAUACCCUGGUAGUC
rnacentral:rRNA from 1 species